rnacentral:piRNA from 1 species
ACCUUAUGUGGGUGGCCGGUAAUGAUUCA